rnacentral:misc_RNA from 1 species
GAUGAAGAACGUAGCGAAAUGCGAUACUUGGUGUGAAUUGCAGAAUCCCGUGAACCAUCGAGUCUUUGAACGCAAGUUGCGCCCGAAGCCACUAGGCCGAGGGCACGCCUGCCUGGGCGUCACACGUCGUUGCCCCCCACCAUCUACUCCUUCGGGAUUGCGGGGGGCGGAUGAUGGCCUCCCGUGCGCCUAGCCGCGCGGUUGGCAUAAAUACCAAGUCCUCGGCGACGCACGCCACGACAAUCGGUGGUUGCGAAACCUCGGUUGCCCGUCGUGUGCGUUCGUCGCGCAUCGAGGGCUCGAAAAAAUGCUCGGCUCCGGCUCGGCUUUCAACGCGACCCCAGGUCAGGCGGGGUUACCCGCUGAAUUUAAGCAUAUAAUAGCGGAGGA